ACCCCAUAAAUAGAUUUACAGUCUACCGCCUUUAUCGGCCACCUAACC
rnacentral:tRNA from 2 species